rnacentral:lncRNA from 1 species
CUACGGCCCUUAUUAAGCCUUCAGGUGAUUUCAAUAUUUAGCUAAGUUAGGGAACUAUUGCUCUCAGCGUGGGAUUCUCGUCCUCUUUCUGCGUUCUUGGUGUUUGAACAUACUCUCCGCAUAGUUCUAUCUCCUGUCUCCUGCUCUCAGGGUCUUCAUUUGGUUUUACAUAUGAAUCCUACUUUUGCUGACCCUUUUCAGUCUGACCCAUUCUGACUCUUUGUGUCUCCUGUCUAUUUUGCCUGUGUACCUGUGGGAGUCUGGCUUUUUCCUGUUGGCCUCCUUCAGUUGUCUCCUGGACCUCAAAGGACUCUGCACCACCUAUGAGGAGGACGAGGUAACACGGGAGGCAGCAGGUCAGAUUCUUCCAGCCCCGUGGCUCCUCCCUAGAGAUGGUUGAGGAGUCUUGACAAAGCCGGCGAGAGAACUAAC